UCCCCUGAGGCUUAAGUGCCCAGUGGGGCAGGGUGUUGAGCAGGCAGGGUCAGGCUGCUGCGAGAUGCAGUUUUCAAGUCACCCCCAACCCAGGACGCUGGAGCUCACUGGUGAAAUGGAUUGUGUUGCCUGGAGAAUUCCCUGGCAUGAGAUGCCUGGUUGCUGGGAGCAGGGACCAGAGAGCUUGGAGGAGAGCACCGCUCGCUGGCCUGUGGGAGUCUUUCAAGAACAAGGGAAGCUGUGAUGGCCGAAGAACCCCGACUUCCUAGCUUCAGGAGAAACUUCCUGCCUGAGCACUCCAAGAGCUGCCAAGGCUUUCCCAAGUCAUUGUGCUCUUGCUGUUCAUUUGGAAUUGACCCUUUCAAUCCAGGAGUCCGUAGGACCCAAGGGCUGGAGGUGGGAGCUAUGCUUAGAGGGAGCUGGAGCCAUUCUGGGCUGCGUGGACCUCAGUCCUGGAUCCGCGAUUGUAGCUGGUCAACACAUCGGGGCUGGACCCACGGUUCUGGCGUCUGCAGUGGGCUUAUCUGGAAUACAAAAUAACAGCUGUAGAAUAAGUACGUUGAUUAAUACUGACUCACAGAAACUCAGUUUUGAAGCCUUUAUUGUAUUUCUGAAGACAUGAAGAGUGCUGAAUCCCAUACCUGAAUUCCUUGGAGCAAAGGACGUUUUAGAAUUCUAAACUUUCAGGCUUCACAAAGGCAGCGCUGAGCCUGUGUUUUAUAACAAGUUGUAUAGAAAGUGUCUGGGCAGUGCUCAGGAAUGAAAUACAGUUGGUCCUCAUUAUUUGCAGAUUUGAUAUUUCUAAAUUUCCUACCUGAUAAAAUGUAUUUGUAACCACAAAAUUAACACUCACAUUAUGUUCACAGUUGUUCACAGACAUACGCAGAGCAUCAGAAAACUAAAAUACAUUGUGCACCACCUGCUGUGCUCGCAUUCCCAGCCAAGGCUAAGCCAGGCGACCUAUGCCUUCUUGUUUCAUCUCGUGCUGUGAACAGGUUUCCUUUAUAAUACCUAUUAAGAGCACUUUUUAGAUUUUUAUUUAUUUGGUUUUUAUUAUUAUUAUUUUAUAUACUUUUUGAGACGGAGCCUUGCUCUAUCACCCAGGCUGGAGUACAAUAGAUUUCAGCUCACUGCAACCUCCUCCUCCAGGUUUAAGGGUUUCUCCUGCAUCAGCCUCCCACGUAGCUGGGAUUACAGGUGCCUGCCACCACGCCUGGCUAAUUUUUAUGUUUUUAGUAGAGAUGGGGUUUCACCAUAUUGGUCAGGCUGGUCUCAAACUACUGACCUCAAAUGAUCCACCCGCCUCGGCCUUCCAAAGUGCUGGGAUUACAGGUGUGAGCCACCACACCCAACCGCAAGAGCCAUAUUUUUAAAAUUCUGCAUUUCUGUGCUUUGUUGAUGCUGAUCCUGUUUAGGAUGGCCCAGAGAUAGUGAAGAUGUGCUGUCUCCUGUCUGCGUCUCUGACCACAGAGGCCAUGAUGUGCCUUAUGGAGAAAUACAUGAGUUACAGAAGCUUCACUCUGGCUCAUAUUCCAGUACUGCUGGCAGUGAGUUCAAUGUUCAUGAACUAAAUGAGGUGUCUUCAAACAGAAACACACAUAAAAUGGGGCUAUGCAUUGAUUUCUUGAUGAAAAUGUUGAGACCCGAGGUUUUCAGGAACCUAACCUUGUAUUUCCCCUAGGAGCGAAAGUUCACUGUUCACCAAUUCAGUAUUCACAGAGACUUUAUUGAACAGAAUUACCAAGAAUAAACAGAAUUAGCUGUAUAUGGAGAUCUGCUCUGAGAAAAAUAUGAAUAUUCACGUGAUAGGAGAGAUAAUGUCUUUAAAUAGCUUUAUCUUGGUUUAGGUCAGGUUUUGCCGUUAUAGUAACGAGUCGAUUGACAAGAAGGAUACACACUGAGAAAUGCAUCGCCAGGCAGUUUCAUUAUUAUGUGAGCAUCACAGAGUGAAUUUAACCAAUCUUGAUGGUGCAGUCCACCAUCAACCUAGGCUACAGGGUAUGGCCUAUUACUCCCAGGCUAUCAGCCUAUAUGGGAUGCACUGGACCGAACACUGUAGCCAGUGGUAACGCAGUGGUAUUUGUGUAUCUAAAUAUACUUAAACAUAGGAAAGUAAAACCAUGUCACUAUAAUCUGAAGGGACACUGUCAUUUAUGUAGUCCAUAGUGGACAGAAAUGUUACACAGCACAGGACUGUAAUUAAUUUAAGGUUAAACAAGAUGCCAAAUGAAUUAAGAAAAAGAAAUUGGUUUCAAACUUUCUAAAGUUUGUAAUUGUACAUAGGGGCCGUGAUAGCUGGUGGAAGACCUUCACAGUCUCUACUUAACAAAAUAAUGUGAUGAAUUUGCUUAGCAUGUUGACAGUAUAUCUAUGAAUAAAGGUUUUGUUUCUUAAAGUUUUUAA